rnacentral:rRNA from 1 species
UACGUAGGGUGCGAGCGUUAAUCGGAAUUACUGGGCGUAAAGCGUGCGCAGGCGGUUCGUUGUGUCGGCGGUGAAAGCCCCGGGCUUAACCUGGGAAUGGCCGUUGAAACUGGCGAACUGGAGUGUGGCAGAGGGGGGUGGAAUUCCGCGUGUAGCAGUGAAAUGCGUAGAUAUCGGAAGGAACGCCGGUGGCGAAAGCGACGUGCUGGACCCCUUCUGACGCUGAGGCGCGAAAGCCAGGGGAGCAAACGGG